GGAAGGGCGAGGGGGCGGCGGCGGCGGCUGACGACGGCGGCGGGCGCACGGCAGGCGGGCCGGUGGCGGCGGUGAUGCGCUCGCAGCGGGGGCACAUGGUGAGCGCGGACGCCGGGAGCGGCUGCCUGGUGUGCGGCGAGAGCACCCUAGGAGAUUGGUUGUCUCCCGAGCUUACCUGAACCAGAGGAGCUGAGGCCGGGGACAGCCAUGGUGAGCUCCAGGCCUGACGGAGAAGUGGCCCCCAUCAUCACAAGCCAAUGCAGAAGCGGCUCAGCAAGAGAAAAGGGCAGGGAAGGCGGGGCAAAGGCGGAGGGAGACAAAGACAGGUUGAAAAGGAGUAGAAGCCUGGGGAGGCGUUAUAUAAGGGGCGUUUCCAGGGCGAGGCUGCCAGGGUAGAGGCAUGGACACGUUAGAACUUUUAACAGUGGCACCUGCUAUUGUAUAUUGUAUAUUGUGUGUGGAAAUAAUAUUGCUGCUGCUGCUACUAGUAGCAGGGCGUGUACUUUAAAUUAUUAGGCUCAUACUGUUUGGGACAUGAUGUGGUUUUUUUGUUCUUUGACUGGGAUUACAACUUGUUGGAAUGGUGGAUCCUUG
rnacentral:sRNA from 1 species